GAUGAACGCUGGCGGCGUGCCUAAUACAUGCAAGUCGAGCGAACGGACGAGAAGCUUGCUUCUCUGAUGUUAGCGGCGGACGGGUGAGUAACACGUGGAUAACCUACCUAUAAGACUGGGAUAACUUCGGGAAACCGGAGCUAAUACCGGAUAAUAUUUUGAACCGCAUGGUUCAAAAGUGAAAGACGGUCUUGCUGUCACUUAUAGAUGGAUCCGCGCUGCAUUAGCUAGUUGAUAAGGUAACGGCUUACCAAGGCAACGAUGCAUAGCCGACCUGAGAGGGUGAUCGGCCACACUGGAACUGAGACACGGUCCAGACUCCUACGGGAGGCAGCAGUAGGGAAUCUUCCGCAAUGGGCGAAAGCCUGACGGAGCAACGCCGCGUGAGUGAUGAAGGUCUUCGGAUCGUAAAACUCUGUUAUUAGGGAAGAACAUAUGUGUAAGUAACUGUUCACAUCUUGACGGUACCUAAUCAGAAAGCCACGGCUAACUACGUG
rnacentral:rRNA from 1 species